rnacentral:rRNA from 1 species
UGAGGAAUAUUGGUCAAUGGGCGAGAGCCUGAACCAGCCAAGUCGCGUGAGGGAAGACGGUCCUAUGGAUUGUAAACCUCUUUUGCCGGGGAGCAACAAGGCCUUGCGAGGCCGAAAGUGAGAGUACCCGGAGAAAAAGCAUCGGCUAACUCCGUGCC